AAAGUCGUAACAAGGUUUCCGUAGGUGAACCUGCGGAAGGAUCAUUAUUGAAUAAACAUGGUGGGUUGUAGCUGGCUCCUCGGAGCAUGUGCACGCCUGUCGUCUUUAUCCAUCCACCUGUGCACACAUUGUAGUCUUCGAGGUAUGAUUAGCGACAGCUGUCGCGGGGCCCUAGGCCCAUCGUCCUCUGAAGUCUAUGUUUAUCAUAAACCACGUAGUCAGUCGCAGAAUGAAGUAUUUGGGCCUUAGUGCCUAUAAAACAAAAUACAACUUUCAGCAACGGAUCUCUUGGCUCUC
rnacentral:misc_RNA from 1 species